rnacentral:lncRNA from 1 species
AGCCAAAUAUGUCUAGUUAUAAAGAGAAAAUUUUGGGGCCAGUUCUUGUGGGUCUGGAGACAGAAACAUUGGAUAAAGUCAUCAAGAUCAUAAAUAACAACCCAUAUGGAAAUGCAACCGACAUCCUCACCACCAAUAGAGCUACAACUUGGAAACAUUCCCACUCCGAAAAUGAAUGCCACUAAUCCAGUGCCUUUGCAAAUGUUCCCUUUUGCCAGCUUCUGAUCUUCCCUCAUGGGAGACACUAAUUUCUGUGGCAAACA